UGGAUUGGCAUGCAAUCUGGCAGUAGUACUGUGCCUUUUGAUCGGGUUUGGAGGAUCGUUGCGCUCCAGCAUAACAUCGAUAAGCUUUGGCCUCUUUCCAAAGUCGUCCGACCUUAUUGUGAAUGGUAAGCAAGAAGAGUUGGAACUAACGAGUUUUUUUAUCAGGGGCGAUGCGGCCUUGCUCCUCAGAAGCUCCUUUCUAGAAGCGCAAGAAAGCUGCCUGUGUCGAUCUUAAAAGGCUUUGGACGUUUCUUGACGCUGAAAGCGUUUGUGUCUGGUAGCAAACUUUUGUUUACAUUGUUACUAAGGUUUCUCUCUAUUUUUCGAUGAACUUCUAUUCCGGCGGACUCCCGAAGUUGUGAGCUGUGCUGGACUCAAGGUCCUCGAGGAUGAAACUAAAGUUCUCCAAGAGGGCUAUCCCUGUGUGGUUUUGCAGCGAUAGGAUCAAGAAAUCUAAGGAGAGUGGAGCCCGUGAAACUCAAGAAUGGUUCAUCGCCUCUGGUUCGUUUUCUUGUUUGUCUCAGGUGUCCAUCCAACAAGUCAAGUCUUCGAGCUCCUGUGCCAAAUGGUCGCAACCAUUUCGUAUGAGCAGGAAAGGUUCCUCGAGUUGCUCUUUGUCCCUUGCAGAGAUGAAGGUAGUCUUUUGAUUUGCAGUUGCCAUCAAGCCAAACGGGACGUGUUGAUCAAGUUGGUGCUGGUGCAUUGUGAAUGAAUCUCUUCGGACUCGGAGGAAAGCGUUAAUUGGCUGGCCCCAUAUCACGUGAACAAAAUCUGGAAUCUACCUUAAAGUACGUAUAGUUGGAAUGUUUUCAGCUCCGGCGAACUUAUACACGAAGCUGGCUAAAGGUGCACCUGUCUUUUAGACAUUGCGGUCCUAAAGAACUAGGUUAUGUACCUUAUCUUU